AGCGAACGCUGGCGGCAGGCCUAACACAUGCAAGUCGAACGAACCUUUCGGGGUUAGUGGCGGACGGGUGAGUAACACGUGGGAACGUGCCUUUAGGUUCGGAAUAACUCAGGGAAACUUGUGCUAAUACCGAAUGUGCCCUUCGGGGGAAAGAUUUAUCGCCUUUAGAGCGGCCCGCGUCUGAUUAGCUAGUUGGUGAGGUAAUGGCUCACCAAGGCGACGAUCAGUAGCUGGUCUGAGAGGAUGAUCAGCCACAUUGGGACUGAGACACGGCCCAAACUCCUACGGGAGGCAGCAGUGGGGAAUCUUGCGCAAUGGGCGAAAGCCUGACGCAGCCAUGCCGCGUGAAUGGUGAAGGUCUUAGGAUUGUAAAAUUCUUUCACCGGGGACGAUAAUGACGGUACCCGGAGAAGAAGCCCCGGCUAACUUCGUG
rnacentral:rRNA from 1 species